UACGUAGGGUGCGAGCGUUUGUCCGGAAUUACUGGGCGUAAAGAGCUCGUAGGUGGUUUGUCGCGUUGUCCGUGAAAACUCACAACUCAAUUGUGGGCGUGCGGGCGAUACGGGCAGACUGGAGUACUGCAGGGGAGACUGGAAUUCCUGGUGUAGCGGUGGAAUGCGCAGAUAUCAGGAGGAACACCGGUGGCGAAGGCGGG
rnacentral:rRNA from 1 species